rnacentral:rRNA from 1 species
AGUGGCGAACGGGUGAGUAACGCGUGAGUAUCUGCCCUUAGGAGGGGGACAACAGUUGGAAACGACUGCUAAUACCCCACAUGUCUACGGAUGAAAGAUUUUAUCGCCUGAGGAUGAACUCGCGUCUGAUUAGCUAGUUGGUGAGGUAAUGGCUCACCAAGGCGACGAUCAGUAGCUGGUCUGAGAGGAUGAUCAGCCACACUGGGACUGAGACACGGCCCAGACUCCUACGGGAGGCAGCAGUGGGGAAUUUUCCGCAAUGGGGGCAACCCUGACGGAGCAAUACCGCGUGCGGGAGGACGGCCUGUGGGUUGUAAACCGCUUUUCUCAGGGAAGAAGACCUGACGGUACCUGAGGAAUCAGCAUCGGCUAACUCCGUGCCAGCAGCCGCGGUAAUACGGAGGAUGCAAGCGUUAUCCGGAAUUAUUGGGCGUAAAGCGUCCGUAGGUGGUUAAUCAAGUCUGCUGUUAAAGAGCGGAGCUUAACUCCGUUUAAGCGGUGGAAACUGGUUGACUAGAGAGUGGUAGGGGUAGAGGGAAUUCCCAGUGUAGCGGUGAAAUGCGUAGAUAUUGGGAAGAACACCGGUGGCGAAAGCGCUCUACUGGGCCACAUCUGACACUGAUGGACGAAAGCUAGGGGAGCGAAAGGGAUUAGAUACCCC